UAAGACCCACACGAUAGUGAAAAAGUAUUGAGCUCCUGAAUUCGGUGGUAAUAUGGUUUCGUUUUAAGCGGUAGUUAGAACUUGGGAGUCUACUGAUUUCAGCACUUCCUCACCCAUUUCUUUGCAUCCCACCAAUUUAGUUCCAGCAGAGUAAAUAUCACCCGUCCGAAACCCCUUAUUCAGGGUUUCCAAAACUGCAUUCUCAAUUCUCUUUGCAGCUUUUUCUUCCCCUAGACCAUAUUUCAAAAGCAUUGCAGCACUUAGCACUGUUGCCAAUGGAUUGGCCUUAUCCUGUCCAGCAAUGUCAGGAGCAGAACCAUGUAUUGGUUCAAAAAGUCCAGGUCCCGAUGCACCAAGACUAGCCGAUGGCAACAUCCCUAUACUUCCAGUAAUCAUUGAUGCCUCAUCAGAUAGAAUAUCACCAAAUAUGUUGUUUGUCACAAUUGUAUCAAACUGUUUUGGAUUGCGAACAAGCUGCAUUGCGGCAUUGUCAACAUACAUGUGUAAGAGCUCAAUAUCAGGAUAUUCUGCUGCGAUGGCCAUUACUCUUUUCCUCCAAAACAUUGAUGCCUCCAAGACAUUUGCUUUGUCAACAGAGCAGAGUUUUCCAUGUCGCUUCCUAGCAGUCUCGAAUGCAACACGAGCAAUGCGAUCAACCUCAUACUUAGCAUACACCUCGGUAUUGAAGCCAAUCUCUUCACCAGAUUCA
rnacentral:misc_RNA from 1 species